UACGUAGGUGGCAAGCGUUGUCCGGAUUUACUGGGCGUAAAGAGCGCGCAGGCGGUUAUUCAAGUCGAAUGUGAAAGCCCCCGGCUCAACUGGGGAGGGUCAUUCGAUACUGAUCGACUCGAAGGCAGGAGAGGGAAGUGGAAUUCCCGGUGUAGUGGUGAAAUGCGUAGAUAUCGGGAGGAACACCAGUGGCGAAGGCGACUUCCUGGCCUGUUCUUGACGCUGAGGCGCGAAAGCUAGGGGAGCAAACGGGG
rnacentral:rRNA from 1 species